rnacentral:antisense_RNA from 18 species
CGAUAUGACGGUUGUGCGUGGGAGGCCUUCGGGCCUGCCGGGUUUGCCAUACCCCUGGUCUUCCACCCCGCGUACAACUGUCACCC